GAUGAACGCUGGCGGCGUGCCUAAUACAUGCAAGUCGAGCGAACAGACGAGGAGCUUGCUCCUCUGACGUUAGCGGCGGACGGGUGAGUAACACGUGGAUAACCUACCUAUAAGACUGGGAUAACUUCGGGAAACCGUAGCUAAUACCGGAUAAUAUAUUGAACCGCAUGGUGCAAUAGUGAAAGACGGUUUUGCUGUCACUUAUAGAUGGAUCCGCGCCGCAUUAGCUAGUUGGUAAGGUAACGGCUUACCAAGGCAACGAUGCGUAGCCGACCUGAGAGGGUGAUCGGCCACACUGGAACUGAGACACGGCCCAGACUCCUACGGGAGGCAGCAGUAGGGAAUCUUCCGCAAUGGGCGAAAGCCUGACGGAGCAACGCCGCGUGAGUGAUGAAGGUCUUCGGAUCGUAAAACUCUGUUAUUAGGGAAGAACAAAUGUGUAAGUAACUAUGCACGUCUUGACGGUACCUAAUCAGAAAGCCACGGCUAACUACGUG
rnacentral:rRNA from 1 species